ACGUGCGCUCCAGUAUCUCACGGAUAAUUUUCCCGCUCGACUUUUCCAAAGAUAUCGCACGGUCUUAUUAGCAAACGGAUGUAUAAAGUUACAUCGGUGAUAAAAAUAUAUCAGAUUGACAUGUUUGGAUCUCUGCUUCAUUUUCCACUGCUUUAAAAAACUGAAAUACUUCACGUAUUUCAAAGUAUGAUCGAGUUUAAUAAACAUCAUUUCCGGAGUUAUAAAUCUGUGUUUAAAAAUUUUUAAAAGCUGUCGUAUGUGAAUUAGUAUUUUAAUCAAUCAAAUGUGCAAAGUGAGAGAAAGAUAGACCCGAUGUCAAAUUCAUUAUACUUCAGAUUCAUUAUACUUCUACUUGUGAUAUGAAUUAAUAUUAGAAAAAGAGCAGGAGGCAUUUAUUAAACCUUUUUUUUUCGAUAAAUAUAUUACGAGAUUAACAGAGAAUUAAAUGGAAAAUUUUAACAUAAUUAGCAUAGGUUUCUCAUAUACCGAGCGUUAUCGAUAUGAUCUGAUUAAUAAAGUCGAUGGAGCAGUGCAGAAUAAAUAUAGCGAAAACGAUGUAUCAACUUUACUACUUAUAUACUAUGUGAGCCGAAGAAGUUUACUUCUUUAAUAUGCUAAUAAUCCUAUUUUAAUUCACCGUUGCAUAUUUGAUGUAUUAUCCAUAUUUAAACGGCAUUUCCAAACCCAUUAUUUCGAUAUACUUAUGUAUAAUUCAUGGCAUAUCAGUUAUGCAUUGCUAAAAAUCAUUAAUACAUACUGACACAAUCUUGCCAUUAGAGAUUCAGUGGAAUCUUCUAUAUAUCCUACUGUUCUCUCAAUUACAUGCUUGGUCCCACUCGGGAACAAAUCCGAUUAACAAUAAAUACUUGAUAUGCUCGCGAGUUUGAUCUGUUCGUAAAUGCGCUUAUCUAACUUAUGAUCAAUUCAGGAGACUCGUAUCUUCCUAAUUUGUACAUCACGUCUAUCACGCGUCCAUUUGAAUUCAAUGAAAUAGGAAACACGUCUCGCUGGACGUCGUUCCAUGUCGAUACGAGUCUCACUUCGCGAACGAGCAUUGGAACAUAACGACGACGACGAUGAUGUGCCAUGGUCCAAGUCAUAAUAUACCAACUCGGUUUGUUCCGCGAUGUAGCCGCGGUUCCGGAUUGGAAGCUUCUUCGCCGGAGUAUUUUAACGCUCGAAGUCGCCUUGCCGCGCAGACUGAUAAAAGGUGACCAUUUUCUAUCUCUGCAGUCCGUAGCUGUAUAUGUACGUGUAUAAGCAGAUAUAUAUAUAAUAUAUACACUAUAUCCGUGGCGAGCGCGCAAUAAAAUGAGAGCGCCACGUUAAACUUUAUUGCGGACGGAGGUUGUUGCUCGCGUUUCCGCGGCGUCACCCCGUCGAAAGGGGCUGUUAUAACUUUAUCACUACGCCGGCCACGACGCGGAUCGGCAUUGUACGGGCUCUCUCCGUUUUUCGCCCGGGAAUGUUCAGCGCUUGAUUCUCGCGGCGUCCCGCGAUUUAAUUGCACGAUCCAUUAACAAUGCCCGUCGACGUAAAGCCGACACUGGCAAUGAACAUCGGGCACGAUUGAAAGGUUCGCCCAAUGGGAUUCUUUCAUAAGCUGAUUUUUUACAUGCCAUUUUUUACAUACCAGGGAGAGAGAAACGCGAAAGGAUCGAUCGGCAGAGGUGCCGUCGCCGAGGGGUGGAAUAGCGUCUGGAUAGUGUCUUAAAAAAGCGGAGUCGCCGGAUCGUCGCUGGAUUCCCAUCUCGGCGCGGCUUUACGCCGCUUCUCCCGUUUAUCGAAUCGUUCGAUUAUCCGCAGCGCGAGUUAUCGCGAAAUUUAUUUUCAUCGCGCGCUCCAGAUUAUGCACAGACGUUGUGGUAGUUCGCAUAAAGAGCCAACUCGCGUUUCAAACUGGAUUGCUGGAUUAUGCAUGCGACUUGGCACCGAUGCAUCUGUAUAAAUGAUAAAAUGACCUUUUACGAACGCGCGGCGUUUAUUUGAUAAUUUUCGCGGCGCGCACAGGAAUGGCUAACUUGGUUAAACUCGGCUAAAAUAUGUACGCGUAUCGCCUUAAUGAUAUUAUGUCCAUUUUACCGCGAUGUGUGUGCACGAUCGGUGUAAAAGAUACGACGGCUCGGGCCGGGAUGGAAAAACCGAAUGCAUCUACGUAGCGCUUCCGUAAAUCAUAAUACGUUAAAGCUCCUCUCUGGAUGCAGCGGAUAAUCCGCGUGUUUGCUUACAUUUUCAAUCUUUUAUAAAGCACGAUAACUUCAACGUGCUUAUAUAUGUGAAAUUAUAAUUGCCAGCCGCCCCGACCGUUUCAAAUUUCCGACUUCCCCCGGCCCGGAGUUGCAAAACAGAGACGCGAAAGCGGAAGGAUUAUAGGGUCUAAAACCAUCGCUUGCUCCUCCUUUCCCGCCCCGCUGUCUCCCUCAUGACCAUUAACUAAUUGCAUUCUACUAAUUACUCGCAAAUCCUUCCGCUCCCGUUUCCCCGUGACUCUGUAUACGCCCAGGGUACACGAUCGUAAAUACCUCAACUUCCAAAGAGCCAGCGCGGUCCCUCCGGCGCAACCCUCCACCCCUGGCUUGUCAAGAACACAAAUAAAGACUUUGGACCCCGGUUAACCGAUUCGAGCGCGAGACAGAGAGUAAGACCGAAACACAAGAACGAUCGCGCUUUCCUGUGCGGAUCGUCGUUGUGUCGUAGGUUUUUCGUUGAACGAGAAACGCUCGAAACGCCGCGGCUUAUCGCGUAAAAGGAAUUACGUGAAUCGUCGUCCGCUCGAUGUAACGCGGACUGCAUUACUGCGACCGGGACACGGGAUAGAUGCAUCCGCUUUCGCUUUAAUUCGCAGGGAUAAAUCUCUGCCUGCCGCGCGCGGUCUUAACCCAUCGAGAUCGGCCGAAGUAAGCUUCUACUUUUUUUUCCAAACGCUGGAGAAACGCGGGAAAUUAAUUUCGACCGAGAUCGGCGCGGAACCGUGACCGUCCGUGAUUAAAAGGGAGGUCGUACAUCACCGGGCCGGGGAGUUUCACGCAUAUGGUAUUCCGAUCUUUGCACUGUAUCGUAUUGUAUCAGCCUCCGAGUGCUUCUGCCGCGCGUACAGAGAUCGUAUAUCAUGCCGAUAAUAAUUCUUAUGACCACUGUGCCGCGCACGGCGGCGAUGGUGCACGCGGUGGCGGAAAAAAGAAGGGAUUAUUGCGGGGCACGCGGGCGGUAAAGAGCGAACGGCAAAAGAGUAUAUACAGAGGGCGCUCUUAACCCGAAAUCUCUGCUCUAUCCCGCCCUCCAUUCAUUACACCCUCUCCGCCCCUGCCGCCUAUUCUUUCGCCACAAAUCUGAAUCCCCCGUCGGCCCGGCCGGCACGGAACGCGAACGUGACCUCUCGCUGGUACAGCGAAUGCGGGAUAAAAUGCAUUGGGAAUUACGUAUAUCCCCCCGGUGUUCGUCGAAGUGAAAUAUUUCCUAUCGAGAAGCAUCCCCGGCCGCCAGCAGCGGCAGCGGCGGCGGCAGCGGGGACGGGAGGCGGAUUGGCGAGGGAGGGUGGUUGAGGCAAAGGCGCUCGGUCAGGCAUCGGUUUUACUCGUGGGAGGGAAAGUUUCGCUAAAACGUUUCCGCUGAUAAAUCUUGUUUACAGAUGGGCAGGCUCAGGUGAUGCGUGCGCGGGCGUUCGUUCGCUCGCGCGCGCUUCGUACUCGUCAAAACUUAAAGUACGGCUCCAACUUGCGCGAAAUUCACGCGGGACGCUCCGCCACGGCGAGCGGCUACGUGCUGCGGUCGCUGCCGACGUCAAUAAUUGGCGAGAACCGGGUCUCGAGAAGGGCGAGCGAGCAGAGGUGAAAUGACUUUAGGGAGCACGUCGUGCAAGUAACGACGAAUCACGACGAAUCGAGCUGUACGGGCCUGCAGGUAUAGACGAGGGGUGUUAGCAGCGCGUUGUUGAGUCGAGGCAAUAAUCGCCGCUACUAACGACGCCGAGUUCUCUCACGCGCGGCUUGUCCGCUCCGACGUUGCCUCGCGCCUCGCGCGGAAUCGGUUCCGCUCGAAAGAGACCAUUAGCCGUCAAUUAGCUGAUUACGUUCGAUGAAAUUGUUCGCGCGCCGACUUGACUGAAUCGCUCUAUCGGAUCGAGUGACUUCCACGAUUAACAGCUUGCUCGAGUUACUUAUCAAUUUUCACGAACGUCCAUUGAGCGUUGUUGGUUAUCUUUUUACAGUGAUUUUCGCAUUCUGCUGCUCUUGGGGAUAUCUUGAGAUAUAUAUGUUUAAAUGCAAGUGCAAGACGUGCGAAAAGAGAGUUACGCAUAAUUGCAAUUGAAACUUUAUCGGAAUUCGUACUGAUUGUGCAGGUAAAGAAUAAAGCAUCUAAAGAGACAAAUUGAGUUCCAAAGACGGCGACAAAUCGUAAAACUUUGCUCUUCAUUUGAUUUUCGGCGCAACUUGUUUUAACGAAAUUCUAAUGUAAGAGUAAGUUACGUAAAAGGUAUUCAAAACCGAUUAUUAAAAAGUUAUGAAAAAGUGAUGCUCAAUCAAACUUUUGUCAAGGAAAAGAAGCCGAUCUCCACCUUUGUAACUAACGUCGAAGUACGCCGCUUUUGUGGUUGCGCUACCCUAUAAUUCGCGUAACCUUCUAUCAUUCAUCAUUCUUUUCUAGCACGAGCGCUCUCUCCGUUGGAAUAAUCGAUGUAUCAGUCUCGAUAUUCGUUGCACGUUGAUGGAAUAACAUUCAGAUCUCCACAAAAGAGCUAUUGAUAGCUCGAAACUAAAAUUCUAUCGGAUAUUUGAACGAAAUAAAAUGGUUAAAAUAUAUAAAAGUGAAAGAUGUUACAUUAGAAUACGACGUGGAUGUGAAAUUAAUUAACCGUACGGCUGGUAUAACGCGCAUCCGGAAUUAUGAAAAGUUAGCCGACGGUCGAGCGAUGUUCACAAUUAAAGAGGAACGAUGUCCCCUUAGCGCGAGAGGAAGAGAACCGUUGAAAAGCGCAUCUGGCGGUUUUAAUAAUCGCUACAAUAUUCAUGUCGCUCGACCGUCUACGACAAGGGGAUGAACGAGUGGCCACUCAUAAGUUGAAUGUAAACGACCCGCCUGUUGAAAUAUCGAUCGCGCGAGUGGUAGACGCCCGUUUUCGCCGCGCGAUGCUCAGGAGAAAUGGAGACGAGAUGAUGAUGGUCAUACGUGCUUCUUCUUGAUAUUAGUGUAAAGGCAAUAAAUACAUGAGACAAAAUAUACAUAUAUAUACAUUUAUAUAUUUUAGACAUAAUUAAAAGAUUUUUUAAUUUUCAGAUAGGUAUUUUAAUCGCGAUGUAGAAAAGUUUGCUAAUAAUGUUUAAUAUUCUUUACGAGUUUCAUAUAUUUCAUUUCUAUCCAUAAAUAAAUAAAUGUGGAGAAAUAAAUGUGGAAACACUCGGCUCCUUGGCACAAUGAAUGUUACUGAUGAGACUAUUUCAAUCAAGAAAUCGAUUGAUAGAUAUUGGGAUUCGGUUGAUCUAAUCAGUCGAAUAUUCAUCCGUCUUCAUUUCCUAACACGGGACAAACUGUCCCUUGAAAUAUCUACAAUCGCACGGAGGGAUAGUGAAACUCUCAUCUCGCAGUGCCGUCACCUGUUCACGACUGUUACGUCAGUAACCCUUCAUCGGAUGGAAGGUUCUCGAACGAUCUUCGAAGGCUCCGGCAGGCAAGCCUGCUAGCCGUAGCGGGCGUUAUCGCGAGCCCGGCAAUAAAUAGUAUAAACAUCCGCGCAUACCAGCAUCUUUCUAGAACCUUCUAGCACGUUCUAAAACCUUAAAAUAUAUAUAUAAUAUCAUAUUAUAUAUAUAUAUAGCGAUUUUAUAAUUUAGGAAACUUUAUAUUAUUAUUUUCCUGAAUGCAAAUGAUCAUAUAGACGGAAUUUAAUACGAUUACAGCCUUCAAAAUAAGCAUUAUUUCUUUUAAUACACAUAUCUUUGGAUUAAAAACAGAUACAACAACCAUUCAAAAUCCCAGAAGAUCCAUUUUGCAAUCAGGAAAUUAAUACCGAGAGGAAAAUAUUAUAAUCAUAAGGCGAACUACGUAAUUAAUUAACUUAGGUAUUAAGGUUCUGUACGGGGAUGUUUACGCGAAGGGCCUCCCUCCACAGAACCGAGAUAACCGUCGAGACGAAGACGCGGGCCCGAUUUUCCUAAACAUUAUUGGUGGAAAAUCAGUCCCACCAUCGAUAUUUUCAACCACCCGCCUCUUCGUCCACCAUAUAAAAGGGCCUGCAGAAGGCCAGGGAAGUCAGUCAUAAGUGCAGCAAUAAGUAAUCAAUUUCAUUAAGCGUUUUCGUAAUCUUGGGUGUCGAGUCUGAUCUCUACGUUUAAGAAUAAAUUCCGAGCAUCUAGUGUUAGCGAAUCUGUGGCGACUGCUCUCACUCCAGAGCCACGACAAGACCCGACAGUAAUUCGAUCACGAGAAGAGUCGACGGGAUUUCUUUCCCUCGCCUCAGAAAACAAUUAGCUUCGCGAUCCUCGGGAAGUAUCAUCGUAUUUAAACAUCCCUGCAGUUAUAAUCACGGACACUCGGGACGUAACAACGACAUUACGAUCGCUCUCAGUUUAUCACUUGUCGUGUCCAUCGCCGGAUGGACUUCGCGUUGCGUCGGAGUAACAAUUUAGAAAAUCGGGAAUAAGUUUGCGGAGCGGGAAACGCUGCGUCAGUGCCGUUACGCGAAAUUACGGAGGCUAACUGAGGGCAUGACGAGGGAAAGAGAAAAGGAGGAAGGGAAAGCGAGGGAAAAUGACGGUGGUUCCUCAGUGGGGCGCGUUGCUCACGCUUCAAGGAAAAUAUAAUGACAAAGAAAGGAGAGCGCGGGGGAUUGCGCGUCGCACGACGCGAACACCCAUCUCUCAAUUUGCAUUUUCAGCAUUUCGCUCGCAGGCAAAUAACGACUUCAUUACGGCGCUCAUCAGAUAUAAAUGACAUAUUUGAUUUGGCGUGGUCCCUGUCGUCGUCGUCGUCGUCGACGUCAUCCCCCAUCUCGUUCAUCCUGCUCGUCGUCGUUGUCGUCAUCUUUGUGCCUGCCACCGUCGUCUUCUGCGCGACUCGCAGACGACAAUGGUACGCCCGGAUACCUGCGUACCCAGGCGUUCUAGCCUCUUAAUGAGAGGAGAACUCUUCCGUAAUCGGUGAUCAGUUUGCCAGCAAGACAGACGUCGCUCAUGUCGAACCGUCCGCAGCGAUUAAUCGGCCCUACCUUCCACUCGUCGUUGCGUAGCCUGUCUGAAUUUGAACCUCUAUUUUCAUAACGCGUAUUGACAAAACGAUUUUAGCUGUCUGAGUCUGAUUGUGAAUUGGGGUUGCGCGCAUAUUAAGCAGUAGUCAAGGCGUUAAAUGCCAAUAUCCGACACACUCCAAUUCCAAGUAUUAUUAUUAAUUAUGUUAUUAUUAACUAUGUUAAUAUUGAUUAUAUACUAUGUUAAUAUUAAUUAUAUAAUAUUAUUAAAUCUGUCAUCAAUAAAUUAUAGGGAGAAUAAUUGAAUAUAUUGCAUAUGUUGUUUGUGCAGCGUAAAUGUGUAAAUAUUCUAUCAAAAUAAUAAAAGACACAAAUUGUAUGAAAAAUAAAUAAAACUCAAUUAAAGAGAUAUAGGAAUACUCUUGCUUUCUAAUUUUUAGUCUCUUCAUCUUUAAUGCAUGUCCAUUUCCAA